rnacentral:piRNA from 1 species
UUGGUCAGUUGUUUGGUCAGCCAAACAAGG